UACAGAGGUGGCAAGCGUUGUUCGGAAUUACUGGGCGUAAAGCGUGCGCAGGCGGUUCGUUAUGUCCGAUGUGAAAGCCCCGAGCUCAACUUGGGAAUGGCAUUGGAAACUGGCGGGCUGGAGUGUGGCAGAGGGGGGCGGAAUUCCACGUGUAGCAGUGAAAUGCGUAGAGAUGUGGAGGAACACCGAUGGCGAAGGCAGCCCCCUGGGCCAACACUGACGCUCAGGCACGAAAGCGUGGGGAGCAAACAGG
rnacentral:rRNA from 1 species